rnacentral:rRNA from 1 species
CACGUAGGGUGCGAGCGUUGUCCGGAAUUAUUGGGCGUAAAGAGCUCGUAGGCGGUGUGUCGCGUCGGCCGUGAAAACCUGCAGCUUAACUGUGGGCUUGCGGUCGAUACGGGCAUCACUUGAGUUCGGCAGGGGAGACUGGAAUUCCUGGGUGAUAGCGGUGAAAUGCGGCAGAUAUCAGGAGGAACACCGGUGGGCGAAGGCGGGUCU